UACCGGUGAUGUUGUACCAUUGAAUUUCUUCCUCUGAGACAGACGUGAGGAUAUCAAAUCGAGCUUUUUAAUUCUGAGGGCU
rnacentral:snoRNA from 1 species